GACGAACGCUGGCGGCGUGCUUAACACAUGCAAGUCGAACGGAAAGGCCCUGCUUUUGUGGGGUGCUCGAGUGGCGAACGGGUGAGUAACACGUGAGUAACCUGCCCUUGACUUUGGGAUAACUUCAGGAAACUGGGGCUAAUACCGGAUAGGAGCUCCUGCUGCGUGGUGGGGGUUGGAAAGUUUCGGCGGUUGGGGAUGGACUCGCGGCUUAUCAGCUUGUUGGUGGGGUAGUGGCUUACCAAGGCUUUGACGGGUAGCCGGCCUGAGAGGGUGACCGGCCACAAUGGGACUGAGAGACGGACCAGACGCGUACGGGAGGCAGCAGUGGGGAAUAUUGCACAAUGGGCGGAAGCCUGAGGCAGCGACGCCGCGUGCGGGAUGACGGCCUUCUGGUUGAAAACCGCUUUCGCCUGUGACGAAGCGGGAGUGACGGUAAUGGGUAAAGAAGCACCGGCUAACUACGUG
rnacentral:rRNA from 1 species